UCGGGCUUUUUCAACUCGUAUCCACCCUAUGUGAACUGUAUAUUUUGUGAUUGGGCUUGGUAGGUUUUGUCCCUUCUGGCUGAAAUCGUUUCUGGGCUUAAACUUUAAGCCUGAGAUGACGAAGGCUGGAAUCGAUAAAGGCCGCCGCUUCCAAGAACAAGCCUGUAUUUAUAAAUUGUCGGCUGAAUUGUAAAGAUUUAUAAUCAAUACAACUUUCAACAACGGAUCUCUUGGCUCCUGCAACGAUGAAGAGCGCAGCGAAAUGCGAUACGUAGUGUGAAUUGCAGAUUUACGUGAAUCAUCGAAUCCUCGAACGCACAUUGCACUUCCGGGUAUUCCUGGGAGUAUGCCUGUUUCAGUAUCAGUGAUCACCUCAAACCAGCCUGGUUUGGAAUUGAGCCUUCACCACAGCCUUGAGCUGUGAGGCUUCAAACACAGAUAAAAGUCAGCCUUAACUGAUACAACCGAAGCUGGAUAGGUGCCAAUUUUUGGCAUUUCUUUGAAAGCACCCGUGUUGUCAAGGCUAUUGAGGCUUUUUUCACUUAACCAUCGGGUUGAUAGCCCGCCCAAAACUUGAUCUGAAAUCAGGCAAGAUGACCCCCUGAACUUAAGCAUAUCAUUAAGGGGAGGAAAAGAAACUAACAAGGAUUCCCUCAGUAACGGCGAGUGAAGCGGGAAUAGCUCAAUUUUGAAAUCUCUGAGGAUUCUCCUCGGCGAAUUGUAGUUUAGAGAGGCGUUUUCGGCUUGCAGCUCGGGUAUAAGUUCUUUGGG
rnacentral:rRNA from 1 species